rnacentral:rRNA from 1 species
UGCAAGUCGAACGGUAACAGGUCUUCGGAUGCUGACGAGUGGCGAACGGGUGAGUAAUACAUCGGAACGUGCCUAGUAGUGGGGGAUAACUACUCGAAAGAGUAGCUAAUACCGCAUGAGAUCUACGGAUGAAAGCAGGGGACCUUCGGGCCUUGUGCUACUAGAGCGGCUGAUGGCAGAUUAGGUAGUUGGUGGGGUAAAGGCUUACCAAGCCUGCGAUCUGUAGCUGGUCUGAGAGGACGACCAGCCACACUGGGACUGAGACACGGCCCAGACUCCUACGGGAGGCAGCAGUGGGGAAUUUUGGACAAUGGGCGAAAGCCUGAUCCAGCAAUGCCGCGUGCAGGAUGAAGGCCCUCGGGUUGUAAACUGCUUUUGUACGGAACGAAAAGCCUGGGGCUAAUAUCCCCGGGUCAUGACGGUACCGUAAGAAUAAGCACCGGCUAACUACGUGCCAGC